AUUGAACGCUGGCGGAAUGCUUUACACAUGCAAGUCGAACGGCAGCACGGACUUCGGUCUGGUGGCGAGUGGCGAACGGGUGAGUAACAUAUCGGAACGUAUCCAAUAAUGGGGGAUAACUAAUCGAAAGGUUGGCUAAUACCGCAUGCGCCCUACGGGGGAAAGCAGGGGAUCUUCGGACCUUGCGUUAAUGGAGCGGCUGAUAUCUGAUUAGCUAGUUGGUGAGGUAAAGGCUCACCAAGGCUACGAUCAGUAGCUGGUCUGAGAGGACGACCAGCGACACUGGAACUGAGACACGGUCCAGACUCCUACGGGAGGCAGCAGUGGGGAAUUUUGGACAAUGGGCGCAAGCCUGAUCCAGCCAUUCCGCGUGAGUGAAGAAGGCCUUCGGGUUGUAAAGCUCUUUCGCAAGGGAAGAAAACUUACUUUCUAAUAAAGAGUGAGGUUGACGGUACCUUGAUAAGAAGCACCGGCUAACUACGUGCCAGCCGCCGCGGUAA
rnacentral:rRNA from 1 species